rnacentral:rRNA from 1 species
AUGGGAAGAGUGGAGGGAGGCGGCAGCUGCGCUGGGAGUAGAGAGCGCCGAGCGGGGAAGGAGGGACGCGGGGACUGCUCCGACCCGGCCGCCCUCCAUGGGGUCGCCGCCGAGGCGCGCGGAUGGAGGAGGAGACGAGGACGCGGCGGCGCGGAUGGAGGAGGAGGCGAGGACGCGGCUAGGGUUCGUGGGGAAGACGCGGUCUGCGCGGUCUCGCUCCUGCCCGCGCUGCCUGCCUUUUUGGCCCGCUGGAACUAA